rnacentral:rRNA from 1 species
CCUACGGGAGACUGCAGUGAGGAAUAUUGGUCAAUGGGCGGGAGCCUGAACCAGCCAAGCCGCGUGAGGGAAGAAGGUACAGCGUAUCGUAAACCUCUUUUGCCGGGGAGCAAAAAGCGGUACGCGUACCGCAUCGAGAGUACCCGGAGAAAAAGCAUCGGCUAACUCCGUGCCAGCAGCCGCGGUAAUACGGAGGAUGCGAGCGUUAUCCGGAUUUAUUGGGUUUAAAGGGUGCGCAGGCGGCGAGUUAAGUCAGCGGUAAAAUUUCGGGGCUCAACCCCGACAAGCCGUUGAAACUGGCGUGCUAGAGUGGGCGAGAAGUAUGCGGAAUGCGUGGUGUGGCGGUGAAAUGCAUAGAUAUCACGCAGAACUCCGAUUGCGAAGGCAGCAUACCGGCGCCCAACUGACGCUCAGGCACGAAAGCGUGGGUAUCGAACAGGAUUAGAUACCCUUGUAGUC